rnacentral:rRNA from 1 species
GCCUAACACAUGCAAGUCGAGCGCGAAAGUUCCUUCGGAAGCGAGUAGAGCGGCGGACGGGUGAGUAACGCGUAGGAAUCUACCCAGUAGUGGGGGACAACUCGGGGAAACUCGAGCUAAUACCGCAUACGCCCUAAGGGGGAAAGCAGGGGAUCUUCGGACCUUGCGCUAUCGGAUGAGCCUGCGUCGGAUUAGCUUGUUGGUGAGGUAAUGGCUCACCAAGGCGACGAUCCGUAGCUGGUCUGAGAGGAUGAUCAGCCACACUGGGACUGAGACACGGCCCAGACUCCUACGGGAGGCAGCAGUGGGGAAUAUUGGACAAUGGGGGAAACCCUGAUCCAGCCAUGCCGCGUGUGUGAAGAAGGCUCUAGGGUUGUAAAGCACUUUCAGUAGGGAGGAAAAGUUGAUAGCUAAUAACUGUCAGCCCUGACGUUACCUACAGAAGAAGCACCGGCAAACUCCGUGCCAGCAGCCGCGGUAAUACGGAGGGUGCGAGCGUUAAUCGGAAUUACUGGGCGUAAAGCGCGCGUAGGCGGUUUGAUAAGCUGGAUGUGAAAGCCCCGGGCUCAACCUGGGAACUGCAUCCAGAACUGUCUGACUAGAGUACAGUAGAGGUGAGUGGAAUUUCCUGUGUAGCGGUGAAAUGCGUAGAUAUAGGAAGGAACAUCA